UACGUAGGGGGCAAGCGUUGUCCGGAUUUAUUGGGCGUAAAGAGCGUGUAGGCGGCCGUACAGGUCAGCUGUGAAAACUCGAGGCUCAACCUCGAGACGUCGGUUGAAACCGUACGGCUAGAGUCCGGAAGAGGAGAGUGGAAUUCCCGGUGUAGCGGUGAAAUGCGCAGAUAUCGGGAAGAACACCCGUGGCGCAAGGCGGCUCUCUGGGACGGUACUGGACGCUGAGACGCGAAAGCGUGGGGAGCGAACAGG
rnacentral:rRNA from 1 species